ACGGGUGUAGCUCAACCGGAAGAGCACCGGCUUCCAAAUCCGGCAGAUGCGGGUUCGACUCCUGCUGCCCGUGC
rnacentral:tRNA from 1 species